rnacentral:rRNA from 1 species
GGGGAAUAUUGCACAAUGGGGGGAACCCUGAUGCAGCGACGCCGCGUGAGGGAAGAAGGUUUUCGGAUUGUAAACCUCUGUCUUGUGGGACGAUAAUGACGGUACCACAGGAGGAAGCCAUGGCUAACUACGUGCCAGCAGCCGCGGUAAUACGUAGAUGGCGAGCGUUGUCCGGAAUUACUGGGUGUAAAGGGAGUGUAGGCGGGAUCAUAAGUUGCGUGUGAAAUGCAGGGGCUCAACCCCUGAACUGCGCGCAAAACUGUGGUUCUUGAGUGAAGUAGAGGCAGGCGGAAUUCCCGGUGUAGCGGUGGAAUGCGUAGAUAUCGGGAGGAACACCAGUGGCGAAGGCGGCCUGCUGGGCUUUUACUGACGCUGAGGCUCGAAAGCAUGGGGAGCAAAC